CCUACGGGAGGCAGCAGUCGAGAAUUAUUCACAAUGGGGGAAACCCUGAUGGUGCGACGCCGCGUGGGGGAAUGAAGGUCUUCGGAUUGUAAACCCCUGUCAUGUGGGAGCAAAUUAAAAAGAUAGUACCACAAGAGGAAGAGACGGCUAACUCUGUGCCAGCAGCCGCGGUAAUACAGAGGUCUCAAGCGUUGUUCGGAAUCACUGGGCGUAAAGCGUGCGUAGGCUGUUUCGUAAGUCGUGUGUGAAAGGCGCGGGCUCAACCCGCGGACGGCACAUGAUACUGCGAGACUAGAGUGAUGGAGGGGGAACCGGAAUUCUCGGUGUAGCAGUGAAAUGCGUAGAUAUCGAGAGGAACACUCGUGGCGAAGGCGGGUUCCUGGACAUUAACUGACGCUGAGGCACGAAGGCCAGGGGAGCGAAAGGGAUUAGAUACCCCGGUAGUC
rnacentral:rRNA from 1 species